UUUCAAAAGUAAUAUUUAAAGUGAUCAAAUACUGUUGGAAAUGGUGGACUUGUCAGUUUAUGACCAAAUAUUGUGCGGUCUAACAGUGCUUUAAAUGUGCUUGCUUGUUCAUGCUCUAAUACUUGAUAAGGACUAAAAUAGCCAUGGUGGACUCUCCUUACCUCUUUAUUUGCUUAUGAAUAUUGUAAUAUGAUUUUUAAAUACUUAAACAUGUGAAGGCAUUCCGUUCAUGUGUCGGUUCAGAUGUUAUUGAAUCAUUUAAGAGUGACGACUUUGUGAAUAUUUGACAGGUUGGUUGUAUUUCUUCACAGCUGAACCCUGUAUUUCUAAGAAAGGAAAAAAAAAGCUCAAUGAACAAGUUACAAGAAGCAUGAAAUCUCAUUGUUCUCCUCAAACAUGCAGAUAUGCAGUGUCUUGUAGCAUUAGAGGUUUAUGUGCCUUUAAAGAACAAAGCAAGUGUUGCUGCAGCUUUUGCUCAUAGCUGUGCUGUUCUUGUGUUCAUCGGCUGUAACCUUUAGCCUUGACUACAUUUAUGCAUUAGAUGCGAGACUGAUGCUCUUGUUUGUAAUGUCCAUUUUGGAGAGUAGAUCAUUUUAAACUGAUACUCUGUAGGUCGAAAGGUAUUGCUUAUACAAAUUUUGUUAUGCUAUAAUACUUGACACGAUUUUUGUUGUAUCAUCUGUUAAUACCGAUUAAGCUGCUCUGUACAUGUAUUUUAAUCGAAUGUAAAAAAAAAAAAAGAGUAUUGAUGGUGUUGAUUUAAUUGCUUACAGCUCUGCAUGGUUGGUAAUAUCGAUGUAAGAUUUAUCACUGCUCUGGAAUAUGCAUAUUAUUUAUUUCCUCAAAUAAUGUGCCAUUUCAAUUAAAUAUUCCACUGUGGCUUCUUGUUCCUCACUUGUGAGAAAUGCAUUUAAAGCAUACUUUAAAAAAUAGUAAUUAUGAAAGCAAUAUACUUUAAGAAGUAAUAUUUCAUUGUGCACCUAAUGUAUAUUAUUAUUAUGGAACAACUGUUGUAUAUAAAUUACAUGAAUGGUAUAUCCUAAAUGUAAGAAGUUAAGCCUUCAAGUGCUUUUUGACUUAUUUUAGCAGCACUUAAAGGGUUAGUUCACCCAAAAAUGAAAAUUCUGUCAUUAAUUAC